rnacentral:rRNA from 1 species
UGGGGAAUUUUGGACAAUGGGCGCAAGCCUGAUCCAGCCAUGCCGCGUGCAGGAUGAAGGCCUUCGGGUUGUAAACUGCUUUUGUACGGAACGAAAAGGUGCCUUCUAAUAAAGGGCGCUCAUGACGGUACCGUAAGAAUAAGCACCGGCUAACUACGUGCCAGCAGCCGCGGUAAUACGUAGGGUGCGAGCGUUAAUCGGAAUUACUGGGCGUAAAGCGUGCGCAGGCGGUUAUGCAAGACAGGUGUGAAAUCCCCGGGCUCAACCUGGGAACUGCACUUGUGACUGCAUGACUAGAGUGCGUCAGAGGGAGGUGGAAUUCCGCGUGUAGCAGUGAAAUGCGUAGAGAUGCGGAGGAACACCGAUGGCGAAGGCAGCCUCCUGGGAUGACACUGACGCUCAUGCACGAAAGCGUGGGGAGCAAACA